rnacentral:rRNA from 1 species
UGAGUAACCUGCCCUUAACUCUGGGAUAAGCCUGGGAAACUGGGUCUAAUACCGGAUAUGACUCCUCAUCGCAUGGUGGGGGGUGGAAAGCUUUUUGUGGUUUUGGAUGGACUCGCGGCCUAUCAGCUUGUUGGUGAGGUAAUGGCUCACCAAGGCGACGACGGGUAGCCGGCCUGAGAGGGUGACCCGGCCACACUGUGACUGAGACACGGCCCAGACCUCCGUACGGGAGCAG